UUAAGCGACUAAGCGUACACGGUGGAUGCCCUGGCAGUCAGAGGCGAUGAAGGACGUGCUAAUCUGCGAUAAGCGUCGGUAAGGUGAUAUGAACCGUUAUAACCGGCGAUUUCCGAAUGGGGAAACCCAGUGUGUUUCGACACACUAUCAUUAACUGAAUCCAUAGGUUAAUGAGGCGAACCGGGGGAACUGAAACAUCUAAGUACCCCGAGGAAAAGAAAUCAACCGAGAUUCCCCCAGUAGCGGCGAGCGAACGGGGAGGAGCCCAGAGCCUGAAUCAGUGUGUGUGUUAGUGGAAGCGUCUGGAAAGGCGCGCGAUACAGGGUGACAGCCCCGUACACAAAAAUGCACAUACUGUGAGCUCGAUGAGUAGGGCGGGACACGUGGUAUCCUGUCUGAAUAUGGGGGGACCAUCCUCCAAGGCUAAAUACUCCUGACUGACCGAUAGUGAACCAGUACCGUGAGGGAAAGGCGAAAAGAACCCCGGCGAGGGGAGUGAAAAAGAACCUGAAACCGUGUACGUACAAGCAGUGGGAGCCUCUUAAUGGGGUGACUGCGUACCUUUUGUAUAAUGGGUCAGCGACUUAUAUUCUGUAGCAAGGUUAACCGAAUAGGGGAGCCGAAGGGAAACCGAGUCUUAACUGGGCGUUAAGUUGCAGGGUAUAGACCCGAAACCCGGUGAUCUAGCCAUGGGCAGGUUGAAGGUUGGGUAACACUAACUGGAGGACCGAACCGACUAAUGUUGAAAAAUUAGCGGAUGACUUGUGGCUGGGGGUGAAAGGCCAAUCAAACCGGGAGAUAGCUGGUUCUCCCCGAAAGCUAUUUAGGUAGCGCCUCGUGAAUUCAUCUCCGGGGGUAGAGCACUGUUUCGGCAAGGGGGUCAUCCCGACUUACCAACCCGAUGCAAACUGCGAAUACCGGAGAAUGUUAUCACGGGAGACACACGGCGGGUGCUAACGUCCGUCGUGAAGAGGGAAACAACCCAGACCGCCAGCUAAGGUCCCAAAGUCAUGGUUAAGUGGGAAACGAUGUGGGAAGGCCCAGACAGCCAGGAUGUUGGCUUAGAAGCAGCCAUCAUUUAAAGAAAGCGUAAUAGCUCACUGGUCGAGUCGGCCUGCGCGGAAGAUGUAACGGGGCUAAACCAUGCACCGAAGCUGCGGCAGCGACGCUUAUGCGUUGUUGGGUAGGGGAGCGUUCUGUAAGCCUGUGAAGGUGGCCUGUGAGGGUUGCUGGAGGUAUCAGAAGUGCGAAUGCUGACAUAAGUAACGAUAAAGCGGGUGAAAAGCCCGCUCGCCGGAAGACCAAGGGUUCCUGUCCAACGUUAAUCGGGGCAGGGUGAGUCGACCCCUAAGGCGAGGCCGAAAGGCGUAGUCGAUGGGAAACAGGUUAAUAUUCCUGUACUUGGUGUUACUGCGAAGGGGGGACGGAGAAGGCUAUGUUGGCCGGGCGACGGUUGUCCCGGUUUAAGCGUGUAGGCUGGUUUUCCAGGCAAAUCCGGAAAAUCAAGGCUGAGGCGUGAUGACGAGGCACUACGGUGCUGAAGCGACAAAUGCCCUGCUUCCAGGAAAAGCCUCUAAGCAUCAGGUAACAUUAAAUCGUACCCCAAACCGACACAGGUGGUCAGGUAGAGAAUACCAAGGCGCUUGAGAGAACUCGGGUGAAGGAACUAGGCAAAAUGGUGCCGUAACUUCGGGAGAAGGCACGCUGAUAUGUAGGUGAAGCGACUUGCUCGUGGAGCUGAAAUCAGUCGAAGAUACCAGCUGGCUGCAACUGUUUAUUAAAAACACAGCACUGUGCAAACACGAAAGUGGACGUAUACGGUGUGACGCCUGCCCGGUGCCGGAAGGUUAAUUGAUGGGGUUAGCGGUAACGCGAAGCUCUUGAUCGAAGCCCCGGUAAACGGCGGCCGUAACUAUAACGGUCCUAAGGUAGCGAAAUUCCUUGUCGGGUAAGUUCCGACCUGCACGAAUGGCGUAAUGAUGGCCAGGCUGUCUCCACCCGAGACUCAGUGAAAUUGAACUCGCUGUGAAGAUGCAGUGUACCCGCGGCAAGACGGAAAGACCCCGUGAACCUUUACUAUAGCUUGACACUGAACAUUGAGCCUUGAUGUGUAGGAUAGGUGGGAGGCUUUGAAGUGUGGACGCCAGUCUGCAUGGAGCCGACCUUGAAAUACCACCCUUUAAUGUUUGAUGUUCUAACGUGGGCCCCUUACCGGGGUUGCGGACAGUGUCUGGUGGGUAGUUUGACUGGGGCGGUCUCCUCCUAAAGAGUAACGGAGGAGCACGAAGGUUGGCUAAUCCUGGUCGGACAUCAGGAGGUUAGUGCAAUGGCAUAAGCCAGCUUGACUGCGAGCGUGACGGCGCGAGCAGGUGCGAAAGCAGGUCAUAGUGAUCCGGUGGUUCUGAAUGGAAGGGCCAUCGCUCAACGGAUAAAAGGUACUCCGGGGAUAACAGGCUGAUACCGCCCAAGAGUUCAUAUCGACGGCGGUGUUUGGCACCUCGAUGUCGGCUCAUCACAUCCUGGGGCUGAAGUAGGUCCCAAGGGUAUGGCUGUUCGCCAUUUAAAGUGGUACGCGAGCUGGGUUUAGAACGUCGUGAGACAGUUCGGUCCCUAUCUGCCGUGGGCGCUGGAGAACUGAGGGGGGCUGCUCCUAGUACGAGAGGACCGGAGUGGACGCAUCACUGGUGUUCGGGUUGUCAUGCCAAUGGCACUGCCCGGUAGCUAAAUGCGGAAGAGAUAAGUGCUGAAAGCAUCUAAGCACGAAACUUGCCCCGAGAUGAGUUCUCCCUGACUCCUUGAGAGUCCUGAAGGAACGUUGAAGACGACGACGUUGAUAGGCCGGGUGUGUAAGCGCAGCGAUGCGUUGAGCUAACCGGUACUAAUGAACCGUGAGGCUUAACCUU
rnacentral:rRNA from 1 species